rnacentral:rRNA from 1 species
AGUGAACGCUGGCGGUAGGCCUAACACAUGCAAGUCGAACGGCAGCACAGUAAGAGCUUGCUCUUACGGGUGGCGAGUGGCGGACGGGUGAGGAAUACAUCGGAAUCUACUUUUUCGUGGGGGAUAACGUAGGGAAACUUACGCUAAUACCGCAUACGCCCUACGGUUGAAAGCAGUGGAUCUUCUGACCUUGCGCGAUUGAAUGAGCCGAUGUCGGAUUAGCUAGUUGGCGGGGUAAAGGCCCACCAAGGCGACGAUCCGUAGCUGGUCUGAGAGGAUGAUCGGCCACACUGGAACUGAGACACGGACAAGACUCCUACGGGAGGCAGCAGUGGGGAAUAUUGGACAAUGGGCGCAAGCCUGAUCCAGCCAGACCGCGUGGGUGAAGAAGGCCUUCGGGUUGUAAAGCCCUUUUGUUGGGAAAGAAAAGCAGCAGGUUAAUACCCCGCUGUUCUGACGGUACCCAAAGAAUAAGCACCGGCUAACUUCGUG